GUAGAAAAUUAAUUCAAAACCAGGUAGCCAAAUCCAGUAUACUGUUUAAUUUUCAGAACCUGGAAUUAAGUAGCUGAAACAAAGAUCUAAUCCCACUUAAACAUGCAAAGCAAGUAGAAAAUUAAUUCAAAACCAGGUAGCCAACUUACCUAUUCCGUGAAAACACUCAUGAGAUCAUUAGGAUGAAAUUGCUGCAACACGGGCAUCCCUAUUCUUGCAUUAUCUG